AACCUUAUGGACCUGCGGGCGUAUACCUGCGGAAGGAUCAUUACAAGUGACCCCGGUCUAACCACCGGGAUGUUCAUAACCCUUUGUUGUCCGACUCUGAUGCCUCCGGGGCGACCCUGCCUUCGGGCGGGGGCUCCGGGUGGACACUUCAAACUCUUGCGUAACUUUGCAGUCUGAGUAAACUUAAUUAAUAAAUUAAAACUUUCAGCAAUGGAUCU
rnacentral:misc_RNA from 1 species